rnacentral:tRNA from 1 species
GGACCUGUAGCUUAAUUGGAUAGAGCACCGCGUUACGGCCGCGGAGGUUAGGGGUUCGAGUCCCUUCAGGUUCACAA